rnacentral:rRNA from 1 species
AUUGAACGCUGGCGGCAGGCCUAACACAUGCAAGUCGAGCGAGCGGCGGACGGGUGAGUAAUGUCUGGGAAACUGCCUGAUGGAGGGGGAUAACUACUGGAAACGGUAGCUAAUAACGCAUACCAUCAGAUUGGCCCAGAUGGGAUUAGAUAGUAGGUGGGGGAACGGCUCACCUAGGCGACGAACCCUAGCUGGUCUGAGAGGCUGACCAGCCACACUGGAACGGAGACACGGCCCCGACUCCUACGGGAGGCAGCAGUGGGGAAUAUUGCAAAAGGGGAGCAAGCCUGAUGCAGCCAUGCCGCGUGUGUGAAGAAGGCCGUCGGGUUGUAAAGCACUUUCAGCGGGGAGGCGUUACCCGCAGAAGAAGCACCGGCUAACUCCGUGCCAGCAGCCGCGGUAAUAC